AGAAUUAAGGCUGGCUAUGUUUGUUCUUGUAUCUGUUCAUUAGGUUUCAUGGAAGUCAAUCAAUUACUGUAGCCACAAUUCAUCAUCUUCUUGCCGACUCAUAGACUCACAUUGGAGCAUUUGCUGAAGCUAAGCAAUAUAAGAGAAAAGCAUACAAUAUCUAUAGGACUAAAUUUGGCCCAGAUCAUGCACGUACUGUUCAGUCUUAUAAAAAACGUGAGGUAUAUCACUGAAAAGCAAGUCUCUUAUGACCAGACUGAGAAGCAACUGAUGGUGAGACUAGACCUGUAGGAAGAGGAACGGCUACACGUAAUAGAGAAGCAACUGAUGGUGAUACUAGAGCUGUAAGAAGAGAAACAGCUACACGUAAUAGUAAGUUCUUUUAUGCUAGCAGUGAGUAAGUGUAUGUCUCGAGCUGUGUAGA